AGUGAACGCUGGCGGUAGGCCUAACACAUGCAAGUCGAACGGCAGCACAGUAAGAGCUUGCUCUUACGGGUGGCGAGUGGCGGACGGGUGAGGAAUACAUCGGAAUCUACUUUUUCGUGGGGGAUAACGUAGGGAAACUUACGCUAAUACCGCAUACGACCUACGGGUGAAAGCAGGGGAUCUUCGGACCUUGCGCGAUUGAAUGAGGCGAUGUCGGAUUAGCUAGUUGGCGGGGUAAAGGCCCACCAAGGCGACGAUCCGUAGCUGGUCUGAGAGGAUGAUCAGCCACACUGGAACUGAGACACGGUCCAGACUCCUACGGGAGGCACCAUUGGGGAAUAUUGGACAAUGGGCGAAAGCCUGAUCCAGCCAUACCGCGUGGGUGAAGAAGGCCUUCGGGUUGUAAAGCCCUUUUGUUGGGAAAGAAAAGCAGCAGGUUAAUACCCCGCUGUUCUGACGGUACCCAACGAAUAAGCACCGGCUAACUUCGUG
rnacentral:rRNA from 1 species